CAGAUCUACGGGGGGCAGCAGUGGGGAAUAUUGCACAAUGGGGGAAACCCUGAUGCAGCGACGCCGCGUGAGUGAAGAAGUAUCUCGGUACGUAAAGCUCUAUCAGCAGGGAAGAAAAAAAGUCUUUGGCUUUGGACGGUACCUGACUAAGAAGCCCCGGCUAACUACGUGCCAGCAGCCGCGGUAAUACGUAGGGGGCAAGCGUUAUCCGGAUUUACUGGGUGUAAAGGGAGCGUAGACGGUAUGGCAAGUCUGAAGUGAAAGCCCAGGGCUUAACCCUGGGACUGCUUUG
rnacentral:rRNA from 1 species